rnacentral:rRNA from 1 species
AUGAUGAAGGCCAAGUGUAACUGGUGCUCAAAGAAGCUUGGAGGGGAACCAAGAAAUGGAACGAAGCAUCUCCUUGACCAUUUAAAGAUAUGUCCAUAUCGCAAGAGGCCUGCGGACACCAAGAAGCAAACUUCUUUGAGGUAUAGUUCGAAUGUACAAGGUGGGAAAGUUGCUGUAGAGAACUAUACUUUUGACCAGGAUAUUGCUAGAAAGGCUCUUGGUUCCAUGAUUCUUCUCCAUGACUAUCCUCUGUCAAUUGUUGAUCACAUUGGGUUUAGAAAAUUUGUUUCUGCACUCCAGCCAUUAUUUAAGAUGGUGAGAUGA